GCUGGGCGUGGUGGCACGAGCCUGUAAUGCCAGCAGCUGGGGAGGCUGAGGCAGGAGGAUCACAGUGUCAGCAAAGUCGAGGUGCUGAGCAAUUCAGUGAGACUCUGUCUCUA
rnacentral:sRNA from 1 species